rnacentral:rRNA from 1 species
AGAGUUUGAUCAUGGCUCAGAACGAACGCUGGCGGCGUGCCUAACACAUGCAAGUCGAGCGAGAAAGUCUCCGCAAGGGGGCGAGUAAAGCGGCGCACGGGUGCGUAACACGUGGAUAACCUGCCUGGGUGUCUGGAACAACCCUCCGAAAGGAAGGCUAAUACCAGAUAAGACCACGGGGACUUCGGUCUCUGAGGUAAAAAGGUGGCCUCUGUAUACAAGCCAUCACAUCUAGAGGGGUCCGCGGCCCAUCAGCUAGUUGGCGGGGUAACGGCCCACCAAGGCGACGACGGGUAGCUGGUCUGAGAGGACGAUCAGCCACACUGGAACUGAGACACGGUCCAGACUCCUACGGGAGGCAGCAGUGGGGAAUUUUGCGCAAUGGGCGAAAGCCUGACGCAGCAACGCCGCGUGAGUGAUGAAGGUCUUCGGAUCGUAAAGCUCUUUCGGCUGGGACGAAAACGGUCUGGCGAAUAACCAGGCCCUUGACGGUACCGGAAGAAGAAGCACCGGCUAACUCUGUGCCAGCCGCCGCGGUAA